GAUGAAGAACGUAGUGAAAUGCGAUAAGUAAUGUGAAUUGCAGAAUUCAGUGAAUCAUCGAGUCUUUGAACGCACAUUGCGCCUCCUGGUAAUCCGGGGGGCAUGCCUGUCCGAGCGUCAUUGCUGCCCUCAAGCACGGCUUGUGUGUUGGGCCCCCGCCCCCCGGCUUCGGGGGGCGGGCCCGAAAGGCAGCGGCGGCACCGCGUCCGGUCCUCGAGCGUAUGGGGCUUCGUCACCCGCUCUGUAGGCCCGGCCGGCGCCCGCCGGCGACCCCAAUCAAUCUUUCCAGGUUGACCUCGGAUCAGGUAGGGAUACCCGCUGAACUUAAGCAUAUCAAUAAGCGGAGGA
rnacentral:misc_RNA from 1 species